rnacentral:rRNA from 1 species
UACGAAGGGGGCUAGCGUUGUUCGGAAUCACUGGGCGUAAAGGGCGCGUAGGCGGGCUGUCAAGUCUGGGGUGAAAUGCCGCGGCUCAACCGUGGAACUGCCUUAGAUACUGACGGCCUCGAGGAAGGUAGGGGCAUGCGGAACUGUAGGUGGAGCGGUGAAAUGCGUUGAUAUCAGGAGGAACACCAACGGCGAAGGCAGCACUCUGGGCCGGUACUGACGCUGAGGAGCGAAAGCGUGGGGAGCAAACAGG